GGUUUAAUAGCUCAGUUGGUAGAGCAGCGGUCUGAAGAACCGCGUGUCGGUAGUUCGAAUCUACCUUAAGCCA
rnacentral:tRNA from 1 species